rnacentral:lncRNA from 1 species
AAAUCAAUUAAAGCGCGUUCAAACAAAAAAACUCUUCAGCUUUAUAAUAUUAACUUAUAUUGAGGCUUUGCGUCGGUUUGCUAGUUCAAGUGUGUUGUGCCAUUAGAUGCAGAACAGCCUGGCGCAGGGCAUGUUCAUGGCGGGCGGGCGCGGGUACGGCGGCGCCGCGCUGCAGGGCCCGCUGGCGUAUCUGGAGAAGACUGCCACCAACAUAGACAUGGUGGGUCUGGGCGAUGGACGCAGGUGACGCGGCCGCGGGAGGGGCAGGGGCCGGGGCCGCGGCAGAGGCCGGGGUCGUGGUGCAUCCCCUGAGUAUGGCGGCAGCAUGACGCCGCCGUAGCACCCUCCCGGCGCGCUGCGCUCUCUCCGCUCUCUCCGACACUCUCUCACAACCGCUCAUUGUAGAACAUCGCUCUCUGCGCUACAUCACUAACUUAUCUGUACAGUGGCUAAAAGAGGAUUUAUGUUUACUUCUUUUUGAAUUACGUUGAAUUGAGCGUAUAAUUUUCACGAAUUGUACCCGCUGUGAAUCUAAAUUUUAGAUUUAUAUAUAUUUAUUAUUUUUAAAAGUAUUACACGUAAUAAACUAGGAAAUUUUUCAAGUUACGAGUUUUAAAUUCAUAGGAUUGCUAUUUUUUAAACAGCGCCAUCUAUGUUAGCAUCUGUGUAAACAUGUUUAUAAAUUUACAAUGUAGGUGUCGCUAAAGUUACAGUGGUUUUUUUAUUUGACUUUCAGGGCUCUUGGUUCCAGUAUUUAAAAAAAGUGGCAUAUGAAGAUUCACGUUUUUUCUUCCACUAAUAGUCCAUGAUCAUUCUAUAUUAUCAAAGUGAAUAACCAAGGAUUUUAUAUUUCUGGUCACUACACACUUAGUAUAUUAGCUAAAUUAUUAUUAACAUAUUUUGCACUUGACUUAUUCUAUAAUUUUGGUGAGGAAUAUCUUAUGCGAUGAGUUUAAUUGACUGCUGACCUGAUUCGUUGCCACAUCAUGCUUCCUCAUGCUCUAUAGGUGUCCAUAUACUAACCUUCUCUGUUAUAGAAAACAUAAAAUAUACACUUUUAUUUUAUUAAAUCGGUCGAUACCGUUCUUAAGCUUUAUCGAACUAACGAACCGAUAAUAAGCUAUACUACUACAGAACAAAUAAUAAUAGUUUAUUGUAUUUAAAUACUUUUUUAAUGUAAUUUUUAUACAUUUUAAUAAAUAAUAUAUAUAUCAAAAUAUAUAUUUUUCGUGAUUACAAAAAUAUUUCCGACUUAGGUAGACCUGUACAGUCACUACACUGACACUGUACACACUGUACAGUAUGCUGACAAUUGUCUAGUCUAGUCAAGAAGAUAAUCUAUAAAUAUACGUACAAUGGAAAGGAUUUUUUUCAACAAAUAAUUAUGAAUAAUUACAAUUUUGUCACAUAUAAUUCAGACAAAUAUUUUUAAUUUAAACAUAAAUAUGGCAGCUCUGUUAAAAUAAAUCAACGAUUUUCUUUUAUUGUCGUAUCUUACGAUUUGACUAGACUACAAUAAAGAAAAAGCGGUAUUUCCAUCGGUUAUAAAAUUAAAAUAAUUAAUAUAUUAUCGUGAAACUAAAAAAAUAUUAUUUUUUGUUUUUGUACAGAUCUCGUUCACUUUUUAUUUUAUUCUAAAUAAAAUUACUUAUUGCAAUACAAAUAGAUGUACGGCACUACCACUUUGAUAAGUUAAGCAAAACUUAAAGGAAUUCAAACUACAGUUGCCAGUUGUCUCUAAUUUUUAAACGAAUAUUACUGGUCUAUGGUUUUUCUAUCAAUGAGAUUUAUUAAAGUGGUAAUACUAUACUUACACACAUAUUUAAUAUCAUAGUAAUAAGCUAUUUAACAUUAACAUUACAUAUACGCUUGCAUUUCAUACAUGCGUAAACUCACUGCCUGUACCUAUUCUUUGACGACUUUCUCAAUUCGUCCCCUAUACCGAUAAGCCGAGAUAAUAAUUAAAGAUACACCGGAUGCUACAAGAAAGUUGAAAGCUUCUAUUUCUAUGAGAUUUACAAAUAUAUCUACUCACUAAACUUACUCAAAAAUGGGAUACAUAUUUGAAAUUGUAUAAGAAAACAAAUGUAAUACAACGAAUUUCAAAAUAUCUAGUCAUUUUCAGAUGAACUGAAAAAAAUAUAGCAUGUAUUCUUUAAAGAAACUGAAUGUUUAGGUAAGGCAGUGAUAACCUAUUAUUCCAUUACAUUAUUAUCAUCAAAAUGUGUGAAGUAAACUUUGUAAAAUGAUUUUAGUCUAUAAGCAAUGUAGUA